rnacentral:rRNA from 1 species
UACGGGGGGGGCAAGCGUUGUUCGGAAUUACUGGGCGUAAAGGGCUCGUAGGCGGCCUGUCGCGUCGGGAGUGAAAGCCCACUGCUUAACGGUGGGUCUGCUUUCGGUACGGGCGGGCUAGAGUAUGGCAGGGGAGACUGGAAUUCCUGGUGUAGCGGUGGAAUGCGCAGAUAUCAGGAGGAACACCGGUGGCGAAGGCGGGUCUCUGGGCCAUUACUGACGCUGAGGAGCGAAAGCGUGGGGAGCGAACAGG